CGGAUGGACGGUGAUCUUGAGGCCGUACAUGUAAUCUCAUUGAAUGUUAUCCGAACCGACGCUCGUGGAUUUGGCCCCCUAUGUGACUACAAAAGUCCCCGUCUCGAGUCUCGAAUCCCUAACUCUGGCCCGAUCGAGGGAGAUGAUGCCGACGGUGCCUCACUUCGUUCUCCUGCUCUUCUCGCUCUCGAUUCUAUCCUCCACAGCACGCUCCGAUCUGGUGAUCUCGAGGGUCGAUCGACGGAUUGAUUUGACUUCGCACAUCGUACGAGUCCUAUCCUCAUUAAAGGUAGAGAAUGUUGGUGCUGGUGCUGUCUCCGAGGUGUUGCUGGCCUUUCCCAAUAGCCAGGCAGAAAACCUGGCAACUAUAAAGACAAUAUAUAUUGAAGGAAAAGGAAAAGGACAAGGGUCUAGUAGUCUGCCAACUGCACGUGUUGAGCCUGAAGGAGUGCCCCCAGAAUUGACUUUUUAUUCAGUCUCGUUACCAAAAGGAUUGGAGAAGCGGGAGACCGUGACUUUGGAUGUCUUGACUGUAUUUACACGUUCUCUAAAACCAUUUCCUGAGGAAAUCACUCAAGCUGAUGUUCAACUUGUUCUAUAUCAGGAUAGCGCCCACUACUUGUCACCUUAUGCUGUUAAGGUUCAGACACUUGGUAUCAGAUUGCCCAGUCGAAGGGUUGAAUCAUAUACAAAAUAUCCUAAUACAAAACUUGUGGAAUCAGAAAUUAGAUAUGGGCCAUAUGAAAAUGUCCCUGCCCUCUCUUACUCACCUAUAGUUGUUCAUUUUGAAAACAACCAUCCUUUUGUAGUUGCACGGGAACUAGUGCGAGAGAUAGAGAUUUCGCAUUGGGGUAAUGUACAGGUUACUGAACACUACAGCCUUGUUCAUGGAGGUGCCGGGACUAAAGGAGGAUUUUCUAGGAUUGACUAUCAAUACAGGCCCUCAAUAAGCGGAGCGUCAUCAUUCAGGCAACUUAUUGCACGAUUGCCACCAAGGGCUCAUUCAAUUUAUUAUAGAGAUGAAAUCGGCAAUAUAUCAACAUCACAUGUGUGGGGUGAUUCUAGAAGGACACAACUUGAAAUUGAACCCAGAUUUCCAAUAUUUGGUGGGUGGAGAACAUCCUUUACUAUUGGCUAUGGUUUGCCAUUGCAAGACUUUCUAUUUGAGUCAGAGGGAAAGCGAGUCCUUAACAUCACAUUUGGCUGUCCCAUGGCUGAGGUUGUCAUUGACAAUCUAAUUGUCGAGGUUGUCUUGCCUGAAGGUUCGAAGGCUAUUUCUGUUUCUGCUCCAUUUCCUACAAGGCAAUGGCAAGAGGUAAAAUAUUCACAUCUGGACAUCGCUGGAAGACCUGUGGUGGUCCUGGAAAAGAAUAAUAUUGUUCCUGAGCAUAAUUUGUAUUUUCAGGUGUAUUACAAGUUCAACAACCUGUCACUGCUUAGAGAGCCAAUGAUGCUGAUUAUUGGAUUCUUCUUCCUAUUUAUUGCUUGUAUUGUGUACAUGCAUACUGAUAUGUCAAUCUCCAAGUCUUCUGCUUCAUAUCUGGCAAAACUGCAAUGGGAUGAGGUGCAGGCAACAGUUCAGCAGGUCCAGAAUAUUAUCAGCCACUUUUUGGCAGUCCAUGACAGGCUGGAGGCAUCAUUACGAGAUCUCUCCAGAACAGGAGAUGUUCAAUCCUGUAAGGCAGCUCGUAAAGCAGCUGAUGGGCAACUUAAAGAAUUGACCAAAGAGUUAAAACCCUUGUUGGGAUUUUUGCAGUCAUCUCCACAGGCUUCUCAGAUAUGGCCUAAGGUCACUGCUCUGGCGGUGUCUUGAUGUUAACCUGAUCAGCUAGCAGUUUCCAUAGUAUCAGCCUGGAACUAGCCGACUCAGGUAGAGGAGGUGGUGGCGAAGGAGAAAGAAAUGCAAGAGAAACUGAUGCAGAAACACUCUACUGUAGUUGACUGCUUUGAGAAGAAGCUCGGCGGGCGAGAAAUUGAGAAUCGGAUUGCUUCCCAGCAGCAGAAACUUUCAGCAUUGAGGCAAGAGGUUGAUGAUCUUCUCGAGGUCAUUGAUGAGAUCUAGAUGAAAUAUCCCUUACAUUAUGAGUUUUAACCCUAUUGUGAGAUCCUGCUUAGGAAUUUUGGCAUGCUUUGUAGGGUAUUCAAAUGGUCUCCCAAAAUGAUUGGUUACUAUACAUACCAUCAUGUUCUUCAUUUGCAUGCUUGCUGAGAUAUUUGCUCGGAAUACUUCUGCCUGUGUGGUGUUUCGAAAAUGCCUCAUUAACGAACAUGAACUUCUGAUCGGUUACUGAGAAUUGCACUUUUCUCA